rnacentral:rRNA from 1 species
CGGUAGAGUAGCAAUACUUGAGAGUGGCGAACGGGUGAGUAAUAUAUCGGAACGUGCCCAGUCGUGGGGGAUAACGUAGAGAAAUUUACGCUAAUACCGCAUACGAUCUAAGGAUGAAAGCGGGGGAUUCGCAAGAACCUCGCGCGAUUGGAGCGGCUGAUAUCAGAUUAGGUUGUUGGGGAGGUAAAAGCUCACCAAGCCGACGAUCUGUAGCUGGUUUGAGAGAACGACCAGCCACACUGGGACUGAGACACGGCCCAGACUCCUACGGGAGGCAGCAGUGGGGAAUUUUGGACAAUGGGCGAAAGCCUGAUCCAGCAAUGCCGCGUGUGGGAAGAAGGCCUUCGGGUUGUAAACCACUUUUGUACGGAACGAAAAAGUCUUUUCUAAUAAAGAGGGCUCAUGACGGUACCGUAAGAAUAAGCACCGGCUAACUACGUGCCAGCAGCCGCGGUAAUACGUAGGGUGCGAGCGUUAAUCGGAAUUACUGGGCGUAAAGCGUGCGCAGGCGGUUCUAUAAGACAGAUGUGAAAUCCCCGGGCUCAACCUGGGAAUGGCAUUUGUGACUGUAGAGCUAGAGUACGGUAGAGGGGGAUGGAAUUCCGCGUGUAGCAGUGAAAUGCGUAGAUAUGCGGAGGAACACCGAUGGCGAAGGCAAUCCCCUGGACCUGUACUGACGCUCAUGCACG